rnacentral:sRNA from 1 species
UGAUUGAACUCCUUCGAAACGGCUCGACC